rnacentral:rRNA from 1 species
UCAGGAUGAACGCUGGCGGCGUGCUUAACACAUGCAAGUCGAACGAAGCAAUUUCUCACGAUCCCUUCGGGGUGACGAGUUAUUGACUGAGUGGCGGACGGGUGAGUAACGCGUGGGUAACCUACCUUGUACAGGGGGACAACAGUUGGAAACGACUGCUAAUACCGCAUAAGCGCACAGCUUCGCAUGAAGCAGUGUGAAAAGUUUUUUCGGUACAAGAUGGACCCGCGUCUGAUUAGCUAGUUGGUGAGGUAACGGCCCACCAAGGCGACGAUCAGUAGCCGACCUGAGAGGGUGACCGGCCACAUUGGGACUGAGACACGGCCCAAACUCCUACGGGAGGCAGCAGUGGGGAAUAUUGCACAAUGGGCGCAAGCCUGAUGCAGCGACGCCGCGUGAGCGAAGAAGUAUUUCGGUAUGUAAAGCUCUAUCAGCAGGGAAGAUAAUGACGGUACCUGACUAAGAAGCACCGGCUAAAUACGUGCCAGCAGCCGCGGUAAUACGUAUGGUGCAAGCGUUAUCCGGAUUUACUGGGUGUAAAGGGAGCGUAGGCGGUUUUACAAGUCUGAUGUGAAAGCCCGGGGCUCAACUCCGGUAUUGCAUUGGAAACUGUAGAACUAGAGUGUCGGAGGGGUAAGUGGAAUUCCUAGUGUAGCGGUGAAAUGCGUAGAUAUUAGGAGGAACACCAGUGGCGAAGGCGGCUUACUGGACG